AGUGACCAACAUUUUUUGUCCGAUCCUGCAGCCCGCUCUUUGGCAGCCGCGUCCCUUGCUGACGAUGCGUCAUCCCAACACAGCUCUGACCAAUCGGACACGAGGACUGAACACUCUGAUGAGGAUGUGGGAGAAAAAGUCCCCAAACGCGCUCCCAGUGUCAAGACAACCAAGAAACCUGCUGCUAAGACGGAGACUCAAACCAAGACGGUGAAGAAGCCGGCCAAGAAAAAGACCACAACUAACAAUGCAGAGACGCCGCCAUGAGGCCUGCUGUCCACACCCACAGGCCUACACUCGCUCCACCCACAGGCUGCAGGCCCUUCUUCCUUUUGUCUGCUCUCCACACAAACACCUAUUCACUGUGGCAACAGCUCUUUUACAUUUACCGGGUUGCUGCAUAUUUGUUCUCACGCUUUUGCUUACUGUGAGCUCAUCCCAGAUUCAACAGUCGUUUUUUAGACAUGUUUUUAAUCUGAUGGUUAGUGACGCUUCAAGAAAUGCUCCCUUUUUUAUUUUAACCCCGACAUAUAUGUAGGUCCCUAUAGUACGUGAGAACAUUAGCUCACCAUGUUGCAGUUUUCCACAUUCUUCACUCCUCGUUCUCUAUAUUUGGUUGCCUUUUGUGUCCUUUGGGCUACUCCUGCAUGAUUUUCAAUUAAAAACAAUCUGACCCACCCCGGUGCGUUCAGGCUACAAGUCUGGGUACUCCUCUGGACCUGACCAUGAUGGUAGAAAUCCUCAGAUGUUGUCUCUGGAGUACAAACAUCACCAAGACGGUUGAAAUCAACUGUAAAGCAUUGAUGGAUCGUUGUAAACGUCUUCAUUACGGUUUCAGACCUAAUAGUUCCCACUUAUGACGACAGCUCAGCUCACCACCAUGUCUUUGCUCAUGCAACUGUCUAGCUUUACAGUAUGACUUGUGAUCAGACCUCUUUUUGUUUCUAUAUUGUCUUAUUCAUUUUGACCUGUUUGACUGCAUCUUGGGCCUCACAGCUUGUGGAAGAGUUUAGCUUCCCCACAUUAAGUCUCUAUACCUCUUACUGAGUCUGGCUCUGCUAAGUUCAGGUCUCACUUACAGCAACUUUCUUCCUCACUGCUUUAAUGUGACUUUCAUGUCAUGUACAGUACUGGUGAUGGAGUGGUUUGUUUAGUGUUGGCUGAUUAUCCUUCAUAUAGACUCCACUCAUAUUUAUUACACUUCUGUUUUAUCCAGUUAUUUUGGUGAUAUCAAUAAUAGGUAUAAUCAGUUGUGCAUAGCCAGGCCUCUUAAGGUAAUGCUGUACCUCCCCAGUCAAUACAGUAGUCAUAGAAGAGUUGUGAGGCAACAUAUCUGCUUUCACCACAGUAGUGAUGUCUGUAUAUUGUUUGUGUUCAACAUUAGAAAGUCGGGGAGUAGCGCUGCACUUUCUCACUCCUCUCACCCAGCGGUGUGGUGACACUCUGCCUCUCUGUAAUAGUUAUACAUCUCAGAAUCCAGGAUAAAGCAAAGCAAUAUGGAAAUAUUUAAACCAAAAUCAACAGCAGGAGACUGAGGAAUUAUUUUCUCAUCCCCGUGCUGUUGUUGCAGAUGUGGAGGAAGUGUCAGACCAGGCUCCGGGUGUUUCUAAACACGCUGGAUUUUUGUUCUGGGAUGGGCUCUUCUGGUUGCCAGCCAAUGCAUUGGCCAUUGUUUCUGCUGAGAUUUAAAAGCAUGAGACUAUUUCUGCACUCAAUACUGCUGUCUACGAUGUGACACUAGUUUGAACCAGUAGGGGGAGACGAACCCCACCUCAACUGUUGGCAGAGUUACUAAACAAUAUGUAAACACGAUGUAAAUAGUAAUCUUGACUGUAUAUACAGUAUGAGCUUGCUUGCCUUAUUCAUUCUCUGGGCUUCAACACAUUUAAUUUUUUUAAUCAUUUGUGUGCUUUUUAAACUUCUUAAAGUCCUUAAUGUUCUGAAACUGGAAGAAGCUCGGACUCCAGUGUGGACUUCUGCUGUUAGAAGUCUUGAUUUUUGUAUUUUGUUUAUGAGUUUUGUAUUUGUAACAUUUUUUAUUUUUCUGUCUUGUCUCAUUAAUUUGAACUCUCCUCCAUCACAAAGUAAGGAAUCUCCAGACUGAGUAUAAACUGAUACAACGUACAUUCACGUUCUGCUAUGUACUCUACUCAAACUGGUUCAUAAGUAUUUUAGGGCCAAAAGCUGAAAACAGAAUUUUGUUUUCAGUCUUAAUUUAAUGUUUACAUAGAAUAGAAACACUGAAUAGAAGACGGCACACAAUGAAAAUACUUUUUUUCUCUUCUCAAGAUACAACCCUGCAUUUUUUUUAAAUCUUGUUUUUAUGCCAUUUGUGGAUAUUUAUUGUUGUUUCUUCUGUUUGAAAUCAGUAUUGUAUACAGAAAUGUUAAUUUGUAUAUGGUUUGUGCCAAUUCUUAAAGCUCCAUGUCAAACAGGAUUACAGUGUGUGUGCUGUAAGGUCAUGUAUCAGUAAUAAAACUACUAAUAAAGGAAAUCAAAUCUGA